GUUGGGUAGGGGAGCGUUCUGUAAGCCUGCGAAGGUGGCCUGUGAGGGUUGCUGGAGGUAUCAGAAGUGCGAAUGCUGACAUAAGUAACGAUAAAGCGGGUGAAAAGCCCGCUCGCCGGAAGACCAAGGGUUCCUGUCCAACGUUAAUCGGGGCAGGGUGAGUCGACCCCUAAGGCGAGGCCGAAAGGCGUAGUCGAUGGGAAACGGGUUAAUAUUCCCGUACUUGGUGUUACUGCGAAGGGGGGACGGAGAAGGCUAUGUUGGCCGGGCGACGGUUGUCCCGGUUUAAGCGUGUAGGUGUGUGUUCCAGGUAAAUCCGGUUCACUUUAACACUGAGGCGUGACGACGAGGCACUACGGUGCUGAAGCAACAAAUGCCCUGCUUCCAGGAAAAGCCUCUAAGCAUCAGGUAACAUCAAAUCGUACCCCAAACCGACACAGGUGGUCAGGUAGAGAAUACCAAGGCGCUUGAGAGAACUCGGGUGAAGGAACUAGGCAAAAUGGUGCCGUAACUUCGGGAGAAGGCACGCUGACACGUAGGUGAAGUGAUUUACUCAUGGAGCUGAAGUCAGUCGAAGAUACCAGCUGGCUGCAACUGUUUAUUAAAAACACAGCACUGUGCAAACACGAAAGUGGACGUAUACGGUGUGACGCCUGCCCGGUGCCGGAAGGUUAAUUGAUGGGGUCAGCGCAAGCGAAGCUCCUGAUCGAAGCCCCGGUAAACGGCGGCCGUAACUAUAACGGUCCUAAGGUAGCGAAAUUCCUUGUCGGGUAAGUUCCGACCUGCACGAAUGGCGUAAUGAUGGCCAGGCUGUCUCCACCCGAGACUCAGUGAAAUUGAACUCGCUGUGAAGAUGCAGUGUACCCGCGGCAAGACGGAAAGACCCCGUGAACCUUUACUAUAGCUUGACACUGAACAUUGAGCCUUGAUGUGUAGGAUAGGUGGGAGGCUUUGAAGUGUGGACGCCAGUCUGCAUGGAGCCGACCUUGAAAUACCACCCUUUAAUGUUUGAUGUUCUAACGUGGACCCGUAAUCCGGGUUGCGGACAGUGUCUGGUGGGUAGUUUGACUGGGGCGGUCUCCUCCUAAAGAGUAACGGAGGAGCACGAAGGUUGGCUAAUCCUGGUCGGACAUCAGGAGGUUAGUGCAAUGGCAUAAGCCAGCUUGACUGCGAGCGUGACGGCGCGAGCAGGUGCGAAAGCAGGUCAUAGUGAUCCGGUGGUUCUGAAUGGAAGGGCCAUCGCUCAACGGAUAAAAGGUACUCCGGGGAUAACAGGCUGAUACCGCCCAAGAGUUCAUAUCGACGGCGGUGUUUGGCACCUCGAUGUCGGCUCAUCACAUCCUGGGGCUGAAGUAGGUCCCAAGGGUAUGGCUGUUCGCCAUUUAAAGUGGUACGCGAGCUGGGUUUAGAACGUCGUGAGACAGUUCGGUCCCUAUCUGCCGUGGGCGCUGGAGAACUGAGGGGGGCUGCUCCUAGUACGAGAGGACCGGAGUGGACGCAUCACUGGUGUUCGGGUUGUCAUGCCAAUGGCACUGCCCGGUAGCUAAAUGCGGAAGAGAUAAGUGCUGAAAGCAUCUAAGCACGAAACUUGCCCCGAGAUGAGUUCUCCCUGAGACUUAGAGUCUCCUGAAGGAACGUUGAAGACGACGACGUUGAUAGGCCGGGUGUGUAAGCGCAGCGAUGCGUUG
rnacentral:rRNA from 1 species